GAGAGAUGAAAUCCUUGGAGGACAAAAUAGGCCAUCUUCUGAAGGAUGUUGCGUACCUCAAAGCGACAGCAAAAUCAGUCAAACUGAUAGGGCAAAGCACCAUCAAAACACAGAUAAUCAGUCUCCCUAAUAUAUACCCUGGAGGCUUCCCAUGCAAGACUUCUGCUGAAGUUGAGGCUCUGGAGAAUUUCUUGAAGAAUGCAAACACAGAGACCAGGAAAUUGUUUUUCCAGGGUCUUUUGCAGCUGGGAGGGUCGAAGCCUGGAGACAUCAUUCGAGAAGUACUAAGGACCCUCUUGAGUAAUCGAGCGGCUCUCGAAUAUAGUUAUCAAGGGGAGGGCCCGAACAACAAAGCCUUUCAACCUCUGCUGAUAUGUGAAAUGACCCUGAAUGUUGUACGAGCAAACCCCCAAUACCAUGAGUACACAUCAAAUUCCUUUAAGGUAAUCGUCGAGAAUUGGCUCAGGAAUGCUAACAAGCGUUUGCUAACAGAAGGAAAAAAUCGGCGUCGAGCUCCUGCAAGGGCGGCAGAUUAUGUAUAAUUCUCCAAUGUUAGUGUAAUUGUUGCGCAGUUGUUAAUAAUUGUAUUUUACACGUAUGUAAAUAUAUUUUAUAAAAAUAAAUAAACCUUUUUAUACAAUCAAAUGAAUUAAUUCAAAUUCAAUUAUCCAAGUAUGAAAUAAAAUAAAAGGAGGUAAAAUGGUUCUGGGUUCAUACCAUUUCGGGGAAAAACAAAACCAUAAACUUCUAAAAAUUUCUAUUAGAGUUAAAAAUUUUGAGCUCCAAUGAGUGCCAGUACAAGAAUGAGAGAGGAGAGUGUUAAGCUCAGGCAGCUUGCAUUGGAAUACUAAAUUGAGGUCAUACCAGAGAUCUAUAACGUUUUGGAGCUUUGUAGACUACAUCAGUAGAUCACCCUCAUUAGAGAACCCAACUCAGCAUCCCGCUAAAUCCAAGACUGCAUCGAAACGCUGUCAUGAAUAAGUUGACGUCGUCUUGGAUUUUGCAGUAUGGUAAGUUGGGUUCACUGACAAGUGUUAUCUACUGAGGAGGUCUAAAAAGACCCAAAACGUUAUAGAUCUCUCGGCGUGACCUCAACUUAAUAUUCCAAUGCGAGCUGCCUGAACUGAACAAACAACCCCCGUCUUGUAUUGGUACUCAUUAGAGCUCAACAUUUUUUACUCUUUUUGAAAUUUUUGAAACUUUUUGGCUUUGUUUCCCCUGCGAAAUGGAGUGGACCCAGCACCAUUUCACCUUGUUACAUACAGUUCAUGCCAUUUCUUAGUGUUUCUCUCUUUUAUGUUUAUACUUAGGUAUGUAUUUUUUCUGUAAUUGUAUUUUGUGACUCAAAAUAAAAUUUGCAGAACUUUUUAGCUUUGUUUCCCCUGCAAAAUGGUGUGGACCCAGCAUCAUUUUACCACCUUGUUUCAGUUCAGACUAUGUCUUAGUGUUUUCUCUCUUUUAUAUGUUUGUAUCCAUACUGUAAUAUAAUGAUAUUGCAGGUAUGUAUUUUCCUGUAAAUGUGUUUUGUGAUAUACCUAGUUCAUUUUUUCUAGUUUUAGGUAAUGACAGUAAUGAGCUCUCUACUUGUGAAGAAAUCUCAUAUUUUUUUUUAAUAAAAGCCAUCAAGUAUGUAUACAUAGAGUUUUUUUCUUAAUUAAGUCUUU
rnacentral:lncRNA from 1 species